rnacentral:rRNA from 1 species
UGGUGGAGUGAUUUGUCUGGUUAAUUCCGAUAACGAACGAGACCUUAACCUGCUAAAUAGCCAGGCCGGCUUUAGCUGGUCGCGGGCUUCUUAGAGGGACUGUCGGCGUCUAGCCGACGGAAGUUUGAGGCAAUAACA